GUGCUGAAAUUGAAAUGAGAUGAAAAUGAAUUCUGGAGAAAGAGUAUUGGAUUAGAGAACUGGUCCUUCUUUUUGAGCACUAAUGACUUGGCCAGAGAGGUGGCCAGUAGCUUGUGCUCUCUCUCUCUGGUGAGAAGCCCAAGUUGGAGCCUUUGGUCUCAGUCCCCUGGUCUACAUGGACAAGAUGCUGACUUUAUAAAAUAAAUAUCUUCAUUUCAGUCUUGUAUCCAACUACAGCCACUUCCAUGGGAGAUUGGUAUCAUGAGGAUCCAUGUUCACUCGCUUUUCCAUGAGAACACAAUGCUGGUAUGUCGUUAUUCUACAACAAUUUGGAUUUUUGUGAACCCUAGGCAGGCAGCACGGGCGCUGGCUGAGCUCGAGGGACGCCUGCCAGGCCCAGCAGUGCCGAUGGCAGGGACAGGAGUGGCACAGGCGUGGCAGCCAGGGCAUGGUGAGAACAUGGAACAGCACAGCCGAGAGCCUAUGGAAUGUCGAAAUGCCCAGAGCUUGGUUCUGUGCCCACAUGAUGAUAAAGAAGAAGGAGAAAGCAAGAACUCGCACAGAUCAAGUGGUAACAUGUUCUGUCCCAUGAUCCUCCCGGGAAACACUUGGCAAAACAUGGGUUGCUGUCUACAGUGAUUUGUGUCAAGUGACAACAACAAGUCUGAGGGUCCAAAAACUGUCUUCAGAGCACCACAGAGCAAGGCAGGAGACUGCAGCCUGAUAAUAUUUUUUUUUGUGGCAAAGUUGAUUGAGCAACUUGUCAUUCUUUCCUUGUCCCCUUUUCCAUCUACUUAGUUGAAGGGUUGCUUUUAAUAGCUCAUCUGCCAUGGGACAAAUUACAUUUCUAAAUUAUUUUCACCUACAGAAAUUAAAGAGUUCACGGCAUCAUUAUUGUUGCUUUUAAUACUAUUAUGCCUUCUCCUUCUCCAAAAGAUGUCCUUUCCCUAAUUUAAAAAACAAACAUGAUUAUAUACUCUCUACAACAAGCUAAAAUCUAGCAUCUAAAACCCCCAGAGAAAUGAAAGAGUUGACUCCAACAUAUGAAACUUGCUGAGUAAUGCUAUCCCUUAAAAAAAUUCUACUCCGACUCAUGCAAACCACAUCCUUUAUAAACAGACCUCACUACUCCAUGUUGCAUAAUGUCUGUGGCAGUUGUGCUCGUUAUCAGCUUUAUUAGCACUUAAUAACUACACAAAUAUUUUCCAGUUCUUUUGCUUGUUAUGUCUGUGUAUGGUUAUAGUAAACGCUGUGUCAGAAACUGCUACAGAUAGGACUGCUACAUUCCUUAGCACUGAGCAGUAAUCCUUCUUUAGAAAAAGAGGUAAUUCCUAAUUGAGCUUUUUCCCUUGGGUGGUGCAUGCCUAUUUACACAUACAAAUACGUAUGUGGCAAGUGUAUGUAUACAUAUAGAUUAUAUAUAGAUAUACAUAAAUCUCAAUACAUAUACACACUGCUCUGUACCAAAAUAUGGUAUUUCAGAAUGUUGCAGUUCAUAUGUCCUAUAACCUGCAUAUAAUUUCUUACAAAUAAAGGAAUGUACAACCAAGCAGCAUAAAAGACACAUUUUAGGGUUUCAUGCCUACAGGUAAGAAGACAGAAAUAAACACCAAAAGAGUUAA